ACUCCUACGGGAGGCAGCAGUGGGGAAUAUUGCACAAUGGGCGCAAGCCUGAUGCAGCCAUGCCGCGUGUAUGAAGAAGGCCUCGGUUGUAAAGUACUUCAGCAGUGAGGAAGGUGGAGUCGUUAAUAGCGGCCUCAUUUGACGUUAGCUGCAGAAGAAGCACCGGCUAACUCCGUGCCAGCAGCCGCGGUAAUACGGAGGGUGCGAGCGUUAAUCGGAAUUACUGGGCGUAAAGCGCGCGUAGGCGGCUUGAUAAGCCGGUUGUGAAAGCCCGGCUGCAACCUGGGAACGGCAUCCGGAACUGUCAGGCUAGAGUGCAGGAGAGGAAGGUAGAAUUCCCGGUGUAGCGGUGAAAUGCGUAGAGAUCGGGAGGAAUACCAGUGGCGAAGGCGGCCUUCUGGACUGACACUGACGCUGAGGUGCGAAAGCGUGGGUAGCAAACAGGAUUAGAUACCCUGGUAGGCUCUG
rnacentral:rRNA from 1 species